rnacentral:rRNA from 1 species
GGGGAAUAUUGGACAAUGGGCGCAAGCCUGAUCCAGCCAUGCCGCGUGGGUGAAGAAGGCCUUCGGGUUGUAAAGCUCUUUCGGACGGAAAGAAAUCGCCGCCUCUAACAUAGGCGGUGGAUGACGGUACCGUAAGAAUAAGCACCGGCUAACUUCGUGCCAGCAGCCGCGGUAAUACGAAGGGUGCAAGCGUUACUCGGAAUUACUGGGCGUAAAGCGUGCGUAGGUGGUGGUUUAAGUCCGUUGUGAAAGCCCUGGGCUCAACCUGGGAACUGCAGUGGAUACUGGAUCACUAGAGUGUGGCAGAGGGUAGUGGAAUUCCCGGUGUAGCAGUGAAAUGCGUAGAGAUCGGGAGGAACAUCAGUGGCGAAGGCGACUGCCUGGGCCAACACUGACACUGAGGCACGAAAGCGUGGGGAGCAAACA